UACGUAGGCAGCGAGCGUUGUUCGGAAUUACUGGGCGUAAAGCGCGUGUAGGCGGCUUGGUAAGUCGGGUGUGAAAUCCCAGGGCUCAACCCUGGAAGUGCAUUCGAAACUGCUCGGCUAGAGUUCUGGAGAGGAAGGUGGAAUGCUUGGUGUAGAGGUGAAAUUCGUAGAUAUCAAGCAGAACACCGGUGGCGAAGGCGGCCUUCUGGACAGAAACUGACACUGAGACGCGAAAGCGUGGGGAGCAAACAGG
rnacentral:rRNA from 1 species